rnacentral:rRNA from 1 species
CGCAAUGGGCGAAAGCCUGACGGAGCGACAUCGCGUGCUGGAUGAAGUGCUUAGGUACGUAAACAGCUUUUAUCGGGGACGAAGUAAUUGACGGUACCCGAUGAAUAAGGGGCUCCUAACUCUGUGCCAGCAGGAGCGGUAAUACAGAGGCCCCAAGCAUUACCCGGAAUCACUGGGCGUAAAGGGUGUCCAGGCGGCCUUAUUAGUCUCUUGUAAAAUCCGUGGGCUCAACCUACGGCGCGCAAGGGAAACGGUAAGGCUCGAGGGCGCGAGAGGUACAGGGAACUCAUGGUGGAGGGGUGAAAUCCGUUGAUAUCAUGGAAAAACACCAAAGGCGAAGGCACUGUACUGGCGCGUUCCCCCUUUUUGGUCAGCCCCCUA